ACAUGCAAGUCGAGCGGACAGAAGGGAGCUUGCUCCCGGAUGUUAGCGGCGGACGGGUGAGUAACACGUGGGUAACCUGCCUGUAAGACUGGGAUAACUCCGGGAAACCGGAGCUAAUACCGGAUAGUUCCUUGAACCGCAUGGUUCAAGGAUGAAAGACGGUUUCGGCUGUCACUUACAGAUGGACCCGCGGCGCAUUAGCUAGUUGGUGAGGUAACGGCUCACCAAGGCGACGAUGCGUAGCCGACCUGAGAGGGUGAUCGGCCACACUGGGACUGAGACACGGCCCAGACUCCUACGGGAGGCAGCAGUAGGGAAUCUUCCGCAAUGGACGAAAGUCUGACGGAGCAACGCCGCGUGAGUGAUGAAGGUUUUCGGAUCGUAAAGCUCUGUUGUUAGGGAAGAAC
rnacentral:rRNA from 1 species